rnacentral:lncRNA from 1 species
UUAUUGUGUGUGCCACCCUCAUGCUUAAACUGCGAUUGACAAUGUUCUCUAAUGCUUUGUCCCAAGGAAGUCUAUCACUACCGAUUGUGUAUACUUUUUGGUAUAAUUUGUAGAAGCAGUUGAUCUAUGUCGGCUUGCUGUCGUGAUUACUUGACUUAAAUAAGAUUUUGUUAGUGUUCAUCGCAGAUUGUUGCCGAAAUUAAUCACGAUUUGUUCCUGGGAUGAAGCUUCACAGACAAGCAAGCCAGCAAAUAAGGAAGAAAUACGAUCGAACUGAAGGUCAUCGCUGCAAUGUACAGCUUUAUGACAGAUUUAUUGGAUUAAACAAGAGGUGAGCCCCUUCUCUCUCUCGCAUGGCGAGAAAGUGUAACCAACCGAAGACAUCUUUCAUGUAAUUGAAUCUAAAAUUUAGAUAGAUUCGAUGAGGACCAGUUUUUGCGGGUUUAAGAACCCAAAAUGUGGGUAUACUAUAUAAAAGAAACCAAUUUGAGGCAACAGACUAAGCUCUUUCUCCUCUAAUCCUUCUAGCAAGCUGAAUGUCCUUGGGCAUGAUGGUGACUCUCUUGGCGUGAAUGGCACACAAGUUAGUGUCUUCGAAAAGCCCAACGAGGUAUGCCUCUGCCGCCUCUUGAAGGGCAAGAACAGCAUGGCUUUGGAAACGCAAACCAGUCUGUGAUAACGUGCAGAAAACGUCUGAUGUCAAAGAUACUACAACAAAGCAUGAAGCAGAUUAUAAAGCAGCAAGAAAUCAACCAGAAAGAGACGCUCCCCAAAAUUCACCAAGUGAUUCUCAUGACGAAAUAACGAAGUUGAAACCAAGAGCACACCU